AGUACAGAGGGUUGCCAAGCCGUAAGGUGGAGCUAAUCCCUUAAAGCUACUCUCAGUUCGGAUUGUAGGCUGAAACGCGCCUACAUGAAGCUGGAGUUACUAGUAAUCGCAGAUCAGAAUGCUGCUGUACACACGUCCCGGCGAACCACGGGAGUUGGGCGUCACCCCACGGGAGUUGGAGACGCCAGAAUCCGAUUAUCUAAC
rnacentral:rRNA from 1 species